rnacentral:misc_RNA from 1 species
AAGUCGUAACAAGGUUUCCGUAGGUGAACCUGCGGAAGGAUCAUUAGAGAGACAUUGCCCUUCGGGGUACAUCUCCCACCCUGAUUACCAUACCUGGUUGCUUUGGCGGGUGACACGGCUUCGGCCGACGCCCGCCAGAGGAUAUCAAACUCCAGUCAACUGUCGUCAGAGAAACAAUACAAUAUUUAAAA